GAAUGAUAUAUGUCCACUUCGAACUUAUAUAUAGCUGCCAUAGGCAAGACGUGGGGAUUGCUUCUCAUCAUUCAACUCUUGCUGCUGCUCAAUGUCAGGGCAAAAGAGAUUUACCCCAAAUGCAUCCGUGUGGCAAACUAAAGCAUAGUUCCUCACAUAUGAUCCAAAAGUAAUGUAGAGCAAGCAUGAGGCUAAGAUGUGGCAUCACAAAAUCAAUCGCAUUAAUGCUUAGCAAAGGUGCACAGAAGGUGCAGGAGAGGAGUUUAGUAAUGCAAAGCAUUUUCGGAAUGCAAUACGUAACUAUUAUAUCUCAACCGGCUACAAGUUUUAUUUCGUCAAGAAUGAUAAGAUGCAUGCCACAGUUGCAUAUAUCCAAGGUACA